UUUCAAACAGACUUGGAGUAUUGGAAGCAAUGUCAGAAAGACAGUCAUAAUAUCUAUCACAGAGGACAGUGCUGACUUGGAGUGCCACCCUUGAUGAGAACAGAGAGAGAAAGGAAUGGAGUGAGAAGAAAAACUGGAAAUCCAUUAAUGACUGAGAAAAUGGAGGACUUUUCAUGACAGAUGAAGGCCUCAAAACAUUGUUCUUUUGACAAUACAAGACAGUAAAAUAAAUUAAACUUGGUAAAACUUUGAGACUGUAAUGACAUUUGAGGUCUUACUUCCUUACUUCAUGUUUACAAAUAGGAGAGAAAGAAUAUAAGGUUGCUUUUACCUGUUUACUAGAAGCGUUAUGCACAUGAUGAAUGACCUCUUUUUCACUGAAGUUGCAUCCACAAUGAACUGCCUCCACAAUGCAGCUGGAAUAUUUUUAUUCGUAUACCUUUUAUACUAAAAUUUGAAUGACUUAACUGCAUAGUUCUGUAGACCUACUGCUAAGGUGUAAAGGUUAAAUUAUAAAAUGAAAGGCCAAAGUUACUCAGAAAGAAUGCAUCUUUGUUCGGAAUGGAUAAUCAAUAAAAUUAAGAAAAAUAUCUUAAGUCUUAAUUAUAGUCUGACCUCUGUCAUUUGACAGAAUAGAACAC
rnacentral:lncRNA from 1 species